AGACACACACACCAAAACGGAGCGUUCUGAGAGAGCUGGUUUAUACAGGGUCUCAAACCUCCUCUGGUGCUUGAUUCAUGUUAUAUUUUGACCAAAGCACAGCACAGAUGUUUCAUUUAGACCACAGGGGGACUGUUUGAAAAGGUGGGGGAGGGGGAUGAUAUGUCCUCUUUAACAGAUGUAUCAGUGAUUGCACGGCUCUGGAUUGGCACAGCUCUCUUUAUUGUUUCUGCACAUUCACAUCUCUUACCUCCAGCAAAGUUUACAUUCAGAGUUAGACAUGCUUGACACAUUUGUGUAUUUCAUUGUUCACAUCUUAGACUUUAGAAGUAAUGCUAAGUUAAAUCCUGGACGUAUACAUUUCUUCUUAUUCUUAUUUUUUAGUGCUUAUUUACUUUGUAUUUGUUCCUCUAUUGUUUUAUUUGCUCUGAUAACCUGCUGCUGUAACACCACAAUUUACCAGUUUGGGAUCAAUAAAGUAAAUCUAUCUAUCUAUGGA